ensembl:miRNA
GUUGUUGUAAACAUCCCCGACUGGAAGCUGUAAGAUACAACUAAGCUUUCAGUCAGAUGUUUGCUGCUAC